rnacentral:rRNA from 1 species
UUAAGCGACUAAGCGUACACGGUGGAUGCCCUGGCAGUCAGAGGCGAUGAAGGACGUGCUAAUCUGCGAUAAGCGUCGGUAAGGUGAUAUGAACCGUUAUAACCGGCGAUUUCCGAAUGGGGAAACCCAGUGUGAUUCGUCACACUAUCAUUAACUGAAUCCAUAGGUUAAUGAGGCGAACCGGGGGAACUGAAACAUCUAAGUACCCCGAGGAAAAGAAAUCAACCGAGAUUCCCCCAGUAGCGGCGAGCGAACGGGGAGGAGCCCAGAGCCUGAAUCAGUGUGUGUGUUAGUGGAAGCGUCUGGAAAGGCGCGCGAUACAGGGUGACAGCCCCGUACACAAAAAUGCACAUGCUGUGAGCUCGAUGAGUAGGGCGGGACACGUGGUAUCCUGUCUGAAUAUGGGGGGACCAUCCUCCAAGGCUAAAUACUCCUGACUGACCGAUAGUGAACCAGUACCGUGAGGGAAAGGCGAAAAGAACCCCGGCGAGGGGAGUGAAAAAGAACCUGAAACCGUGUACGUACAAGCAGUGGGAGCCUCUUUAUGGGGUGACUGCGUACCUUUUGUAUAAUGGGUCAGCGACUUAUAUUCUGUAGCAAGGUUAACCGAAUAGGGGAGCCGAAGGGAAACCGAGUCUUAACUGGGCGUUAAGUUGCAGGGUAUAGACCCGAAACCCGGUGAUCUAGCCAUGGGCAGGUUGAAGGUUGGGUAACACUAACUGGAGGACCGAACCGACUAAUGUUGAAAAAUUAGCGGAUGACUUGUGGCUGGGGGUGAAACGCCAAUCAAACCGGGAGAUAGCUGGUUCUCCCCGAAAGCUAUUUAGGUAGCGCCUCGUGAAUUCAUCUCCGGGGGUAGAGCACUGUUUCGGCAAGGGGGUCAUCCCGACUUACCAACCCGAUGCAAACUGCGAAUACCGGAGAAUGUUAUCACGGGAGACACACGGCGGGUGCUAACGUCCGUCGUGAAGAGGGAAACAACCCAGACCGCCAGCUAAGGUCCCAAAGUCAUGGUUAAGUGGGAAACGAUGUGGGAAGGCCCAGACAGCCAGGAUGUUGGCUUAGAAGCAGCCAUCAUUUAAAGAAAGCGUAAUAGCUCACUGGUCGAGUCGGCCUGCGCGGAAGAUGUAACGGGGCUAAACCAUGCACCGAAGCUGCGGCAGCGACGCUUAUGCGUUGUUGGGUAGGGGAGCGUUCUGUAAGCCUGCGAAGGUGUACUGUGAGGUAUGCUGGAGGUAUCAGAAGUGCGAAUGCUGACAUAAGUAACGAUAAAGCGGGUGAAAAGCCCGCUCGCCGGAAGACCAAGGGUUCCUGUCCAACGUUAAUCGGGGCAGGGUGAGUCGACCCCUAAGGCGAGGCCGAAAGGCGUAGUCGAUGGGAAACAGGUUAAUAUUCCUGUACUUGGUGUUACUGCGAAGGGGGGACGGAGAAGGCUAUGUUGGCCGGGCGACGGUUGUCCCGGUUUAAGCGUGUAGGCUGGUUUUCCAGGCAAAUCCGGAAAAUCAAGGCUGAGGCGUGAUGACGAGGCACUACGGUGCUGAAGCAACAAAUGCCCUGCUUCCAGGAAAAGCCUCUAAGCAUCAGGUAACAUCAAAUCGUACCCCAAACCGACACAGGUGGUCAGGUAGAGAAUACCAAGGCGCUUGAGAGAACUCGGGUGAAGGAACUAGGCAAAAUGGUGCCGUAACUUCGGGAGAAGGCACGCUGAUACGUAGGUGAAGUCCCUUGCGGAUGGAGCUGAAAUCAGUCGAAGAUACCAGCUGGCUGCAACUGUUUAUUAAAAACACAGCACUGUGCAAACACGAAAGUGGACGUAUACGGUGUGACGCCUGCCCGGUGCCGGAAGGUUAAUUGAUGGGGUUAGCGGUAACGCGAAGCUCUUGAUCGAAGCCCCGGUAAACGGCGGCCGUAACUAUAACGGUCCUAAGGUAGCGAAAUUCCUUGUCGGGUAAGUUCCGACCUGCACGAAUGGCGUAAUGAUGGCCAGGCUGUCUCCACCCGAGACUCAGUGAAAUUGAACUCGCUGUGAAGAUGCAGUGUACCCGCGGCAAGACGGAAAGACCCCGUGAACCUUUACUAUAGCUUGACACUGAACAUUGAGCCUUGAUGUGUAGGAUAGGUGGGAGGCUUUGAAGUGUGGACGCCAGUCUGCAUGGAGCCGACCUUGAAAUACCACCCUUUAAUGUUUGAUGUUCUAACGUUGGCCCCUAAUCGGGGUUGCGGACAGUGUCUGGUGGGUAGUUUGACUGGGGCGGUCUCCUCCUAAAGAGUAACGGAGGAGCACGAAGGUUGGCUAAUCCUGGUCGGACAUCAGGAGGUUAGUG